rnacentral:tRNA from 1 species
GGAUAUAGCCCAGUGGUAGAGUGUGUGUUUAGAAUGCACAAGAUCCUGGGUUCAAUCCCCAGUACUUCCA